rnacentral:rRNA from 1 species
GACGAACGCUGGCGGCGUGCUUAACACAUGCAAGUCGAACGGUAAGGCCCUUCGGGGUACACGAGUGGCGAACGGGUGUGUAACACGUGGGUGAUCUGCCCUGCACUUCGGGAUAAGCCUGGGAAACUGGGUCUAAUACCGGAUAGGACCACUGCCUGCAUGGGUGGUGGUGGAAAGCUUUUGCGGUGUGGGAUGGGCCCGCGGCCUAUCAGCUUGUUGGUGGGGUGAUGGCCUACCAAGGCGACGACGGGUAGCCGGCCUGAGAGGGUGACCGGCCACACUGGGACUGAGAUACGGCCCAGACUCCUACGGGAGGCAGCAGUGGGGAAUAUUGCACAAUGGGCGCAAGCCUGAUGCAGCGACGCCGCGUGAGGGAUGACGGCCUUCGGGUAGUAAACCUCUUUCAGCACCGACGAAGCGCAAGUGACGGUAGGUGCAGAAGAAGGACCGGCCAACUACGUGCCAGCCGCCGCAGUAA